AUUGAACGCUGGAGGCAGGCCUAACACAUGCAUGUCGAGCGGAGCGUCGGAAGGGUGAGUAAUGCCUCGGAAUCUGCCUGGUAGUGGGGGAUAACGUCCGGAAACGGGAGCUAAUACCGCAUACUUUAAGAUGAGCCUAGGUCGGAUUAGCUAGUUGGUGGGGUAAAGGCCUACCACGGCGACGAUCCGUAACUGGUCUGAGCGGAGGAUCAGUCACACUGGACCUGAGACACUGUCCAGACUCCUACGGGAUGCAGCAGUGGGGAAUAUUGGACAAUGGGCGAAAGCCUUGUCCAGCCAUGCAGCGUGUGUGAAGAAGGUCUUCGGAUUGUAAAGCACUUUAAGUUGAGAGGCGUUACCAACAGAAUAAGCACCGGCUAACUUCGUGCCAGCAGCCGCGGUAAUUC
rnacentral:rRNA from 1 species